rnacentral:ncRNA from 1 species
UUAAAUGUCAGCUCUUCUCAUCAUUGUGAAGUAGAAUUCACCAAGAGAUGGAUUGUUCACCGACUCGCAGGGAAUGCGAGCUGGGCUUAGACCGUCGUGACACGGGCU